rnacentral:lncRNA from 1 species
CAGGAUGGAUGUGCCCAGCGCGGCCUCCCCACACUCUCCUGGGAACAAUGAGACCCAACAAAGGGUUCUCGGCUCUCCCACGUGGUGAACCUCGUCCUUCGCUCCCUCGGCAAAGUGAGGCAUGGCAGGGGGAGGGCCUCGUUCCGGGAGCCCACCCGCCAGGGCCCCAGGGCCCCAGGACCAGAAGGCGCCAGGCACGCUGUCGCCAGAGGAAACCCCAUCAGGCUCCUGACCCUACUUCCUUGGGCUCAGACAUCCCCCAUCAAGCCUGGAAACCAUGCAGGCCCAGAAACCCUAGUCCAGAAGUUACCCCCAGGAAACCCACAGCCCCCGAGGCACUCUCUUUCAUAGGCUCAGGACGCAUGGGGUCUGGUCCAAGGUUAUGGGAUGAACGUCAGCGCACCGUUGGUUCACCACUUACCAGUCUCUGGAGCCGUGCCUGGCCUGCAACAUGCGUUUAA